UAUUUUGAUCAUAUCUUUGAAUAUGAUCUAUAGGAUUGUAUUAAAAUUGAAUAAAGCUUUGUUUAUAUAUUGAUAAUGACAGUAUAUAUAUCGUGUCUUGACUAAUUGCGUGCCAGCAGUCGCGGUAAUACGUAAGAGACUAGUGUUAUUCAUCUUAAUUAGGUUUAAAGGGUACCUAGACGGUCAAUAUAGCUUCUAAAAUGUUAGUACUUGACUAGAGUUUUAUGUAAGAGGGCAGUACUUGAGGAGGAGAGAUGAAAUUCUAUGAUACCAAAGGGACUCGGUAAAGGCGAAGGCAGCCUUCUAUGUAAAAMCUGACGUUAAAGGACGAAGGCACAGAGCACAAACAGGAUUAGAUACCCAAGUAGUCUUUGCAGUAAAUGAUGAAUGCCAUAGGUUAGAUUAAGAUUUAGUAUUAUAAUUAUAAAUYAAAUAUUAAACAUUAUCUGGUCUAUAAAUGAAAGUGUAAGCAUUUCACCUCAAGAGUAAUGUGGCAACGCAGGAACUGAAAUCACUAGACCGUUUCUGACACCAGUAGUGAAGUAUGUUAUUUAAUUCGAUAAU
rnacentral:rRNA from 1 species